rnacentral:rRNA from 1 species
GUGCCAGCAGCCGCGGUAAUACGGAGGGUCCGAGCGUUAAUCGGAAUUACUGGGCGUAAAGCGCACGCAGGCGGUUUGUUAAGCUAGAUGUGAAAGCCCUGGGCUCAACCUGGGAAUUGCAUUUAGAACUGGCAGGCUAGAGUUUUGGAGAGGGGAGUGGAAUUCCAGGUGUAGCGGUGAAAUGCGUAGAUAUCUGGAGGAACAUCAGUGGCGAAGGCGACUCCCUGGUCAGUAACUGACGCUCAUGUGCGAAAGUGUGGGUAGCGAACAGGAUUAGAUACCCUGGUAGUCCACACCGUAAACGCUGUCUACUAGCUGUUUGUGGAUUUAAUCCGUGAGUAGCGAAGCUAACGCGAUAAGUAGACCGCCUGGGGAGUACGGCCGCAAGGUUAAAACUCAAAUGAAUUGACGG